rnacentral:rRNA from 1 species
GACGAACGCUGGCGGCGUGCUUAACACAUGCAAGUCGAACGGAAAGGCCCUGCUUUUGUGGGUUGCUCGAGUGGCGAACGGGUGAGUAACACGUGAGUAACCUGCCCUUGACUUUGGGAUAACUUCAGGAAACUGGGGCGAAUACCGGAUAGGAGCUCCUGCUGCAUGGUGUGGGUUGGAAAGUUUCGGCGGUUGGGGAUGGACUCGCGGCUUAUCAGCUUGUUGGGGGGGUAGUGGCUUACCAAGGCUUUGACGGGUAGCCGGCCUGAGAGGGUGACCGGCCACCUUGGGACUAAGAUACGGCCCAGACUCCUAUGGGAGGCAGCAGUGGGGAAUAUUGCACAAUGGGCGGACGCCUGAUGCAGCAACGCCGCGUGCGGGAUGACGGCCUUCGGGUUGUAAACCGCUUUCGCCUGUGACGAAGCGUGAGUGACGGUAAUGGGUAAAGAGGCAACGGCUAACUACGUG